GUGUAUUGCAUUUGCAGUGCGAUGUGAAUGAUAAAUGACCUGUCAUCACAUCAUCUCAUCAUUUUAUAACAUCAUUUUAUCUUCUUUGUGAAGCAUGCUGUCCACCGUUGACUGAAAUACAGAUGCCUCAUCUGUUUGGAAUCCAGUUGUUUUAACAAGAUGCAUUUGAUAAGUCGAGCACACUUAUACAACAGAGUUAACGUUAUGUUGUUAAGGCCUCUUUUAACAUCUCCAUCUUAACAACAACAAAGCCCUGUUUAUAGGCCUUUUUCCAGUAAGCGCAGUUCUGAGCCACGACGUAAUUUGGCCAUAUUUGGAGAGAAGAGAGAGGAUGGGAGAUAAAGAGGAGUAUUGGAGCAUGGAAAGGGAGUGACAAGACUUAGUCAAAGACAGGGAUGAGACAUUCCUCCAUGAAGUCAAAUCCAUGGCUGGAUUCAUGCUGAUACUUUAGUCAGCUAAAUCCCUCUUAGCGUCACUCUAGCUUGGGUUUUAUGAAGUUACAGAAAACAUUCACUCUUUAAUGAAUAUUCCUAAAAAUUCUUUCAGAUUGCAUGUUGGAAUUUUUCCCUCAACCACUUCUUAAACUACUUUAAAUAGCCAUGUCCAGUAACUAAGGUAACAUAGGCAUUAACUAUAUAGGUCUGUGUGAUCAAUCAUCAGUGCAUUAAUAUGCAUGCAUGCCGCCCAGCUUUGAACACAUUGCAUACCCUAAUGGCAGUGGAGACAUGUUGUCUCCGUUUUAGAAGGGAUUUCUCCCAAUAUGACUGUUGAAAGAUUGUACAAAACAGUUUGGCUAGGAAUAAGCUCUUUUUUCCUGAGGGGCCGAUACUAUAACUUGACUUUGAAGGUACCCUGUGGGCUUUUUCACCAAAAGUAGGGUUUAUUUUGUUUCAUGCAUGCGAAGGAGGACGCAGACAGGUCCAUCCAAUGACUGACCAGUGGCAUCAGUUGAGGCGCAUAACGCCUGCAGCCAUAAGCCCGUUCUCUAUUGAUUAACCUGGACCACCCAUCUUGGCUCUGAACCGAUCUUUAUGUAGUUUUGCCUGGCUUCCUAUUGGGAGUUGAUCUUGAUAUGGUCAAAUCCUCCAGGAGACAACAACAAGCUAACAAGGAGGCUAGGAAUGGCUCUACGAGGUUGUGUGUGCUAGCUGCCAUUUGCACUGGGAAAUGUCAUAAGUCUGUCCUUCGCUAAAUAACUCGAAGGCUGCAUGUUGAUAUGGCAUUUAUAAUAUUACAUGAUCUAAUUCAGUUGAUUGCUGUAGUGGGUCUUGCCAUGGGAAAUUCCUCCUAAAUGAUCAUGUGGCCCUAGUUCAGUUUCCUGGCUCGGCUCAUAUAAAUUCCUCCACUAAUACACCAGCAGUCCUCUUUCUGACUGGAAAUAUUAUUUGUGAUGGGUGCCUCUGUGUGCCAUGCAGUGCUGUGUGUCACUUUCUUUCCAGACAAGAUCUCUCCACCCAGGACACACACAAACCCCCAACACCACAGCCUGGAACCAGCUAAUGGCCCUUCUCUCCUCAGCAUAAUCCUUUAUUCCGAUGGGGAAUUAUAAGGAUCUGUUUCCCCGUAUUGUAGGAAACCCAAGGAGGACAGAUCGGGCCUCCUUGUCAUCAGCCCCAUAAUGGCCCCUGAUGGGCCCUAACUAUCUGGAGUUGAACUGUGACCUUCAAAGAGGGGAUGUAGAAAAUCCUGCCAGUGUUGGUGCAAAAGAGAGAUACAACCAGGAUCUGUAUGUCAUAAACUGCAACAACAACAAAAAUCACCAUCAUAACAAACAACUUACCCGUGAAGUCUUCCAGGCACUCGCAGGUGUACCCUCCCUCUCUGCUGCGGCAUCUCCCGUUGUUCAUGCAGGGUCCUGAGUAGCAGAGGUCGAUCUCGGUCUCGCAG